rnacentral:rRNA from 1 species
GACGAACGCUGGCGGCGUGCUUAACACAUGCAAGUCGAACGGAAAGGCCCUGCUUUUGUGGGGUGCUCGAGUGGCGAACGGGUGAGUAACACGUGAGUAACCUGCCCCUGACUUUGGGAUAACUUCAGGAAACUGGGGCUAAUAUCGGAUAGGAGCUCCUGCUGCAUGGUGGGGGUUGGAAAGUUUCGGCGGUUGGGGAUGGACUCGCGGCUUAUCAGCUUGUUGGUGGGGUAGUGGCUUACCAAGGCUGUGACGGGUAGCCGGCCUGAGAGGGUGACCGGCCACAUUGGGACUGAGGUACGGCGCAGACUGCUACGGGAGGCAGCAGUGGGGAGUAUUGCACAAUGAGCGGAAGCCUGAUGCAGCAGCGCCGCGUGCGGGAUGACGGCCUUCGGGGUGUGAACCGCUUUCGCCUGUGACGAAGCGUGAGUGACGGUAAUGGGUAAAGAAGCACCGGCUAACUACGUG